GCCAGACUCCUACGGGAGGCAGCAGUGAGGAAUAUUGGUCAAUGGGCGAGAGCCUGAACCAGCCAAGUCGCGUGAGGGAAGACGGUCCUAUGGAUUGUAAACCUCUUUUGCCGGGGAGCAAAAAGCGGUACGUGUACCGCAUCGAGAGUACCCGGAGAAAAAGCAUCGGCUAACUCCGUGCCAGCAGCCGCGGUAAUACGGAGGAUGCGAGCGUUAUCCGGAUUUAUUGGGUUUAAAGGGUGCGCAGGCGGCGAGUAAAUUCGGCGGUAAAAUGCGGGGGCCCAACCCCGGCGAGCCGUUGAAACUGGCUUGCUAGAGUGGGCGAGAAGUAUGCGGAAUGCGUGGUGUAGCGGUGAAAUGCAUAGAUAUCACGCAGAACUCCGAUUGCGAAGGCAGCAUACCGGCGCCCAACUGACGCUCAGGCACGAAAGCGUGGGUAUCGAACAGGAUUAGAUACCCGAGUAU
rnacentral:rRNA from 1 species